rnacentral:tRNA from 1 species
UCCCUGGAGGACUAGCGGUUAGACCUCGGCGCUCUCACUCCCAUGGCCCGGGUUCGAUUCCCGGCCAGGGAA